CCUACGGGUGGCAGCAGUAGGGAAUAUUGCUCAAUGGGGGAAACCCUGAAGCAGCAACGCCGCGUGGAGGAUGAAGGUUUUAGGAUUGUAAACUCCUUUUGUUAGAGAAGAUUAUGACGGUAUCUAACGAAUAAGCACCGGCUAACUCCGUGCCAGCAGCCGCGGUAAUACGGAGGGUGCAAGCGUUACUCGGAAUCACUGGGCGUAAGGAGUGCGUAGGCGGGGUAAUAAGGCGGAGGUGAAAUCCUGUGGCUUAACUACAGAACUGCAUUUGAAACUGUUACUCUGGAGUGUGGGAGAGGUAGGUGGAAUUCUUGGUGUAGGGGUAAAAUCCGUAGAGAUCAAGAGGAAUACUCAUUGCGAAGGCGACCUGCUGGAACAUUACUGACGCUGAUGCACGAAAGCGUGGGGAGCAAACAGGAUUAGAUACCUAGUAGUC
rnacentral:rRNA from 1 species